GAUGAAGAACGUAGCGAAAUGCGGUACGUAAUGUGAAUUGCAGAAUUCAGUGAAUCAUCGAAUCUUUGAACGCAUAUUGCGCUCUCUGGUAUUCCGGAGAGCAUGCUUGUUUGAGUAUCAGUAAACACCUCAACUCCCUUUUCUUUUUUGAAAUUGGAGCUGGACUUGAGUGAUCCCAACGCUUUCUUCCAAGAAAGUGGCGGGUUGCUUGAAAUGCAGGUGCAGCUGAACUUUUCUCUGAGCUAUAAGCAUAUCUAUUUAGUCUGCCUAAAAAACAGAUUAUUACCUUUGCUGCAGCUAACAUAAAGGAGACUAGUUCUUGUGCUGACUGAUGCAGGAUUCACAGAGACAGCUUCGGCUGACUUUGUAAACUCGAUCUCAAAUCAAGUAAGACUACCCGCUGAACUUAAGCAUAUCAAUAAGCGGAGGA
rnacentral:misc_RNA from 1 species